AUUGAACGCUGGCGGCAUGCCUAACACAUGCAAGUCGAGCGGAGAGUGGGACGGGUGAUGACUGCCUAGGAAUCUGCCUGUUAGUGGGGGAUACCGUCCGGGAACAGGCGCUAAUACCACAUACUAGCAGAUGAGCCUAGGUGGUAUUAGCUAGUUGGUGGGGUAAUGGCCUACCAAGGCGACGAUGCGUAACUGGUCUGAGAGGAUGAUCAGUCACACUGGAACUGAGACACGGUCCAGACUCCUACGGGAGGCAGCAGUGGGGAAUCUUGGACAAUGGGCGAAAGCCUGAUCCAGCCAUGCCGCGUGUGUGAAGAAGGUCUUCGGAUCGUAAAGCACUUUAAGUUGGGAAGCGGUACCUAACGAAUAAGCACCGGCUAACUACGUGCCAGCAGCCGCGGUAAUUC
rnacentral:rRNA from 1 species